rnacentral:ncRNA from 2 species
AAAUGAGAUAGAGGUUGCGACCAACAUCAGUAACUUAAACGAGCAGUCCACGCUGUGAUGACUUUAAGUGAAAGGGGCGGUCGCCGAAACGCUGGCACAGUGGGUGCGUCAGUUGUUGGGGUAGACGCGAAAAGCGGCUACACUGUCGUCGAAAAUCGACGGGGCGCUAUCCAAACA